rnacentral:lncRNA from 1 species
GAUGCUAGCUGUAAAGAUUGUCAAUAAUGGAAACAUCACUUUAUACUACAGUGUUGAACAAGAUACAAACAAAAUAUUGAAAUUCUUGUUCUCAUCGUGGGUUAUUGUUUAGAUGUGUCUAGAAAGCGACCUGAAUCUUGCUUGCAACUCAAUGCAGUCGAUCAGAUCAGUCCAAGCUUUCAUAGUUGAGGUUUUCAGUUUCCAUAAUCCACUCACCCAUUAACAAAAAAGAUUUAUCCACCACACUUUAGCUAGCUACCACACUUUUAACUCAAGUUUUCUAAAAUUGUUGGAAAGAUUGUCUAGUUGUUGAACCAAAAUUAAGCCUCCAAAGUAUAUUUCUACAGCAGAGUUGCUCAUACGGCUUGAACAUUUGCUGAAAGUGUGCUGGAGUUAAGGUACUGCAGAC